GCCAGGCAUGGUGGCUCAUGCCUGUAAUCCCAGUACUUUGGGAGGCUGAGGUGGGUGGAUCACCUGAGGUUGGGAGUUCGAGACCAGCCUAAUCAACAUGGAGAAAACCCGUCUCUA
rnacentral:SRP_RNA from 1 species